UAUUUUAAACAUUCAUGUGCUAGUCUCUGUCUUAGAGAGCUUUAUCUAUUUACAUUUAAUAUAACUACUAGUAACGAAGAACUUACCUCUGCCAUACUGCUAUUUAUUUUCUGUAUGUUAUGUCUUUUUUUGUCCCUCAACUCCAUCAUUACUGCUUUCUUCUGUGUUAAAUAAGUAUUUUCUAGUGUAUCAUUUUAAUUCACUUAAUAUUUCUUUUCUUUUUUAAGAUAUGGGGCCCUGCUAUGUUUCCUAGGCUGGCCUUGAACUCCUGGGCUGAUGAUCUUCCUGCCUCAACCUCUUGAGUGGCUGGGAAUACAGCGGCCGCUGAGACGCAUAAUGAUGAUAUAGAUGUGGCUUAAAAUGAUCAUCGGUGGGGGCAGGACUGGCCUGUCAUGAAAUGUCAUAAUCAGCUGAUAUCGCUGGAACUUCCACACCUGGUUGGAUAUUGAUUUUACUUCAAAGAAGAUCAUCCAGUAGGGCAUGUAGAAGAUGUUUCGGGCCAGUUUCCAAGAAGGCUUCUCCUCUGGAUGCAGAAUGGCUUGACGGGCUACUCCAAAACUCAUGAGCACGACCAGCAUGAUGACCACAAAGUACAGCAUGUCGAUCAUCUGAGGUGAUACAUCUAAAAGAAUCUUUGUUUCCAACUGGACUGACUCAUUGAGAGGAAACCUUCCCUGCACCUCACCAGUGAAGACAGAAGACCUGGAGGCCUGCCUUCCAGCGGCAGCAGGCAGCUGUCACCCACCCACCCAAGACCACAUCCACCAAAGGCAUUGGCAGCAAUCGCCACCCUUCGGGCCAUGGAACUGAGCAUUUAGGAACCAUGGAGCGUCUCCAGUGCAACUCUUUGCUUUUACCUCUAAGGGAACAAGGUGCAAACCCCAAGGCGGAUGGGUGGCCGGCUUGGCUAAGAACUGGCUUGCCUCUCAGAGCAAAGGGUGCAUACCUGCCUUUGACCCAGCACUUCCACUUCUACAGAUCUAUCAUCUGGAAAUACUUUUGCAUGUAAAUAGGCAAUGUAUGGAUGUUUGUUGCAGUGUAUUUUAAGUGAAAAAUUGGAAACCUCCACUUUUGUGUGAGUCUACCUUGGGGACUGAUUAAAACAAUUAACGAUAUACCAAAUCAUGGACUAUGCAACCAGGAAGAAGACUAACAUAGAACUCUUAAAGUAUAAACAUCUCCAUUAUGAAUUGAAAAAAAAUUGUAUAGUAAAAUCUUUCCGGCGUGAUCUAGCUCCACAAGAACAAACUUCCCGAUAUUCGAGAGCGGAGCUGUCCUGCAUGGUAGACCCUGGCUACCUGGGACUGUUGUGCACCUGAGAUGUGGCCAGGGUGAAUGGAGACAUGCUGAGUGUGAGAUGGCACACUAGUGUUCACUGUGACAUGAGAGCUGAAAAUGAGGUGUGUAGCAGGAUUUCAGAGACUUAGAACAACAA